rnacentral:rRNA from 1 species
GUCGAGCGGGCGAGGUUGCUUCGGUAACUGAGCUAGCGGCGGACGGGUGAGUAAUGCUUAGGAAUCUGCCUAUUAGUGGGGGACAACAUUCCGAAAGGGAUGCUAAUACCGCAUACGUCCUACGGGAGAAAGCAGGGGCUCUUUAUGACCUUGCGCUAAUAGAUGAGCCUAAGUCGGAUUAGCUAGUUGGUGGGGUAAAGGCCUACCAAGGCGACGAUCUGUAGCGGGUCUGAGAGGAUGAUCCGCCACACUGGGACUGAGACACGGCCCAGACUCCUACGGGAGGCAGCAGUGGGGAAUAUUGGACAAUGGGGGGAACCCUGAUCCAGCCAUGCCGCGUGUGUGAAGAAGGCCUUUUGGUUGUAAAGCACUUUAAGUGGGGAGGAGGCUUACCUGGUUAAUACCUGGGCUAAGUGGACGUUACCCACAGAAUAAGCACCGGCUAACUCUGUGCCAGCAGCCGCGGUAAUACAGAGGGUGCGAGCGUUAAUCGGAUUUACUGGGCGUAAAGCGCGCGUAGGUGGUUAAUUAAGUCAAAUGUGAAAUCCCCGAGCUUAACUUGGGAAUUGCAUUCGAUACUGGUUAGCUAGAGUAUGGGAGAGGAUGGUAGAAUUCCAGGUGUAGCGGUGAAAUGCGUAGAGAUCUGGAGGAAUACCGAUGGCGAAGGCAGCCAUCUGGCCUAAUACUGACACUGAGGUGCGAAAGCAUGGGGAGCAAACAGGAUUAGAUACCCUGGUAGUCCAUGCCGUAAACGAUGUCUACUAGCCGUUGGGGGAUUUGAUCCUUUAGUGGCGCAGCUAACGCGAUAAGUAGACCGCCUGG